AGUGUCCGUGUGAUCUUGACCAAGCGCUGGGACCCCUCAGAGCCUGAGUUUCUUAAUUUCUGUGUCCCAGAUUGGAAGGAGCUUCAGGGCAGAAAUCAUAUUUAUUCUAUCCAAACUUUGAAUCCUCAGCACCUAAACCCAUGCCUUGAGAGGAAGAACUCCAGGAAGAGAGUUUAAUCCUGGCUAAUGUUCUGGUUCACUUCCAUGGGAAAAAAUUAAUACUGGUAACUGGAAGAUUUGAAAUUUCAAUAUUGGCUGUGAAGAACCAAGAGAAACCCAAGAAUUUAUUAUGGAAAUCUCUCCUAAAAUUUCCCAAAUAUUCAGCUAUACUGAAGUAUAUCAUCCUGCAUAAUUCCACUGAAAAUAUACGUGGUGACAGUAAAUUUCCUUAUGAAUAGGAUAUUUGCAAUUUUCUUCAUAAUAGAUAUUUGUAUCUAUUUUAUCUCCCACCAACUCUAUGAAAAUACAGUAAUUGGAAC
ensembl:lncRNA